CGCGCGGCCUUGCUACUGCGCCACAGUGCUCCGGGAAGGUGAACUGCAGCUUGCCACUCCAGCCAUUGAGUAUGGGGUAUAAGCGCAAAAUCAAGAGCAUCUUCUGGGUUUAAGUGGUCUCUGGCUUAUGCCACCUUCUCAGGACUUCCAUCGAACCCUUCCUGACCUCCUCUGACAGCUGUGCCUGCCCCGCUUCUAACAGGUUCUACAGGGCUACACCACAGUGGAUCCCCGGCUCGCUGAUGGUCGUCUGUGGGACAGUUUGAGUAUUCAAGGUCUUCCGUGGCCUGGACUGUGCCUCACCAUCUAACCGUGUAUCCUGCACGUCCGUACCUCUCUGCUCUGGCCACACCGAUCUCCUUCUUCCUUACAGUCCCUCCUCCCUGCCUUCCUCUCCGUUUGCCCCAUGCAGCUCAUGCCUGCAGCCUGACUUCUCCAGGCAGCCGCACCUGCCGCUUCAUGCAGCCUCCUAACUCCAGCCACAUGCAAACCAUCCCCCAAUACUGACAUGGGUGAUUCAGUGAUUGAUAUGCACAGGCCAGCAUACUGAAAGUCACUGCCUUUGGUCAGUUCUGAAGUAGAGCUUAUUGUCCUGGGGCUUGUCUCAAGGACUGGGACCACUCAUGCUGUGGCUGAGGGCACCAGUACAGUGAAAGCCACUGGAAUGUGAUCCAGGAACCCACAGGUAGGCACUGUGGGCAUUGGUGCUUGCUCACUGGCUUCUCUAGACCAGUGUUCUCCAGCCUUUCUGUAUCAUGCCACUGUGGCAAGCCCUAAGGGAAAUCAAGUGUGUGUUUCUUCAUCUAGCCUACAUGCAGCCACAUGGUUUCAUUCUCACAAAUGUCUUCUCUCCUAUCACAUCUCAAACUUGACAAGAAUUGGGUCUUACACAUAGUCACUAAGUGUUGAAUAAUGAUCAAGGUCCAUCUGUCAUCAGUCUUAUCCUCUAAACACUUUUUCUAUAGAAUGACACAAAUCACAAAAUGUUAAGGGACCAGGUCAAGCUUGGUGGUGCAUGCCUUUAAUUCCAGCACUCAAGAGACAGAGGCAUGCAAAUCUCAGUGAGUUCCAGGUCAGUCUGGUCUACAGAGCAAGUUCUAGGCCAGGCAGCGCUGCAUAAUAAGACACUGUUCUUAAAAAAAAAAAAAAAAAGUUCCACAGGGUGGACACCUUUAAUCCCAGCACUCAGGAGACAGAAGCAGAUGGAUCUUUGUAUUUGAGGCUAGCCUGGUCUACAGAUCAAGUUCCAGGAUAGCCAAGCCUACACAAAGAGAUCCUAUCUCAAAAAAGAAAAUAAAACAAAAAUAACAAACAAACAAACAAAAGAGGUAAGGGACUCAGGCCCUGACCAGUGUCACACAGUUCUCUGGAAGGUAGACAUGACCAUCACCACCGUGAAGCAGAGCUGCUGGGGUAGCCUACAGGAGACCUUGGUCCACAGUCUCAGUAAAACGAACAGUACAGCCACUGGGUCUAUAAUGGCAGUGAGGCUGUUACGAUCCCUUGUGGAAAGAGGGAAGCGUCACAGCUGACCUCACCAGAGGAUUUGGUCAGCCCUCCCCCUGCCCAGUUGUAUAUAAUCUUAGACAUGCUCAUGUGUGUAAGAGGUAGAAAAUGGACUGGGGUGGAACCCUUCAGGGGUGCAGCUGCCUGAGCUGUCCAUGCUUCUGUAAUUGCUCUUAGUAAACCCACUCACCAACUGCACUGGCUGGAAUCCAUCUUUGGUCUGUCGGAGUGAAUACUACUUUCAUGGCUCCCCAGAUGCCCUCCUUGUCUCUACUUUUGAGAAGCAGCCUUUGCAAGGCUCUGUACCCAGAGUGGUGGCAGUGCGGAGAAAUGCUGCAAACCAGGAGUCAGCUGUCUGGACAAUGAACACAGCUUCAGAAGGAUCUAGAAGCAGCUCUGAGCACUGGAUGUUUUCAUCUUUCUGGGUCUCUCCCCCCACUUUUCACUAUUUGAGACUUCAAGUACACACACACACACACACACACACACACACACACACACACACACACACCUGGGGCUGGAGAGAUGGGUUCUUGCUAUUCUUGCAGAAGACCUGGAUUUGGUUCCUAGCACCCACAUCUGGAAGGGGGCCAUGCUAACAAAAGCCAUUCAGAGUGUAGUGGAGGGUGGUAGGACCCACCAAACUGGGCUCCAGAGCCUUGGCUGUCAAUAGCUCCAUCAACAUACCUCUUUGGGAAUCAGCUUCUUAGGGGUAAGAUGAACUAAACUCAAACUAUGUGUUAAAUGUUUUAAACUUAUGUCUCAGUAACUAUUACCAGUCCCCCACACACUUCCAGCUGUCAAAAAUAAUUUGCAUCUUA